GACGAACGCUGGCGGCGUGCCUAAUACAUGCAAGUCGAACGCAGUGGGGACGGGUGAGUAACACGUGGGUAACCUCCCAUCAGAGGGGAUAACACUUGGAAAAAGGUGCUAAACCGAUACUGAUGGAUGAACCCGCGGUGCAUUAGCUAGUUGUUGAAGUAACGGCUCACCAAGGCCACGAUGCAUAGCCGGCCUGAGAGGGUGAUCGGCAACACUGGUACGGAGACACGGCCCAGACUCCUACGGGAGGCAGCAGUAGGGAAUAUUCGGCAAUGGACGAAAGUCUGAACGAGCAACGCCGCGUGAAUGAAGAAGGUUUUCGGAUCGUAAAACUCUGUUGUUAGAGAAGCGGUAUCUAACCAGAAAGCAACGGCUAACUACGUGCCAGCAGCCGCGGUAAUUC
rnacentral:rRNA from 1 species